rnacentral:rRNA from 1 species
CCUACGGGUGGCAGCAGUGAGGAAUAUUGGUCAAUGGACGCAAGUCUGAACCAGCCAUGCCGCGUGCAGGAAGACGGCUCUAUGAGUUGUAAACUGCUUUUGUACGAGGGUAAACGCAGACACGCGUAUCUCUCUGAAAGUAUCGUACGAAUAAGGAUCGUCUCACUUCGUGACAGCAGCCGCGGUAAUACGGAGGAUUUAAGCGUUAUCCGGAUUUAUUGGGUUUAAAGGGUGCGUAGGCGGUCUGAUUAGUUAGAGGUGAAAGCCCGAGGCUCAACUUCGGAAUUGCAUCUGAUACUGGUCGGCUAGAGAGUAGUUGCGGUAGGCGGAAUGCAUGGUGUAGCGGUGAAAUGCUUAGAGAUCAUACAGAACACCGAUUGCGAAGGCAGCUUACCAGGCUACUUCUGACGUUGAGGCACGAAAGCGUGGGGAGCAAACAGGAUUAGAUACCCUAGUAGUC